rnacentral:rRNA from 1 species
UGGGGGAUAUUGCACAAUGGAGGAAACUCCGAUGCAGCAACGCCGCGUGAGGGAAGAAGGUCUUCGGAUUGUAAACCUCAGUAGUCAGGGACGAAAGAAAUGACGGUACCUGAAGAGUAAGCUCCGGCUAACUACGUGCCAGCAGCCGCGGUAAUACGUAGGGGGCAAGCGUUGUCCGGAUUUACUGGGUGUAAAGGGUGCUCAGGCGGAUUUGUAAGUCAGAGGUGAAAUCUUACAGCUUAACUGUGAAACUGCCUUUGAUACGUCAAGCCUAGAGUAUGGAAGAGAGUGAUGGAAUAUCUGGUGUAGCAGUGAAAUGCGUAGAUAUCAGAUAGAACACCAAUGGCGAAGGCAGUCACUUGGUCCAUUACUGACGCUAAAGCACGAAAGCGUGGGUAGCAAACA